UCUUUAUUGCUACACUGAGUUCAUACUGCACUGCACUGAACGGAACUAGUGCAAGCAGGACAUGUUAUUUGUGAGCAAGUAUAAAGAACGCGUCAGUGUAAUAAUCAACAUGGCGAUGAUCUUAAAUGAUUUAUUUGAUUCUUCUGAUGAUGAAGAAAAUAAUAUGUUGUUUCCAUUUCAACCUAUUAUGCGUAACGAUGACGAUGAUUUUUAUGAGUUACACAUGUUACAUCCAAUUUACAAACAAUAAAUAAACCUAGCUGUUUAGCUACCUAACUACUUAAA